rnacentral:rRNA from 1 species
AUCCGGAGAUUUCCGAAUGGGGAAACCCACCACUCGUAAUGGAGUGGUAUCCAUAUCUGAAUACAUAGGAUAUGAGAAGGCAGACCCGGGGAACUGAAACAUCUAAGUACCCGGAGGAAGAGAAAGCAAAUGCGAUUCCCUGAGUAGCGGCGAGCGAAACGGGACCAGCCCAAACCAAGAGGCUUGCCUCUGGGGGUUGUAGGACACUCUGUACGGAGUUACAAAGGAACGAGGUAGAUGAAGAGGUCUGGAAAGGCCCGCCAUAGGAGGUAACAGCCCUGUAGUCAAAACUUCGUUCUCUCCUGAGUGGAUCCUGAG